rnacentral:rRNA from 1 species
GAGGUAGCGCCUCGUGAACUCAUCUUCGGGGGUAGAGCACUGUUUCGGCUAGGGGGUCAUCCCGACUUACCAACCCGAUGCAAACUACGAAUACCGAAGAAUGUUAUCACGGGAGACACACGGCGGGUGCUAACGUCCGUCGUGAAGAGGGAAACAACCCAGACCGCCAGCUAAGGUCCCAAAGUCAUGGUUAAGUGGGAAACGAUGUGGGAAGGCACAGACAGCCAGGAUGUUGGCUUA